AACGAACGCUGGCGGCAUGCCUAACACAUGCAAGUCGAACGAGACCUUCGGGCCUAGUGGCGCACGGGUGCGUAACGCGGGGGAACCUGCCCUUAGGUUCGGAAUAACUCCCCGAAAGGUGUGCUAAUACCGGAUAAUGUCUUCGGACCAAAGAUUUAUCGCCUUUGGAUGGGCCCGCGUUGGUUUAGCUGGUUGGUAGGGUAAAAGCCUACCAAGGGGACGAUCCAUAGCUGGUCUGAGAGGAUGAUCGGCCACACUGGGACUGAGACACGGCCCAGACUGCUACGGGAGGCAGCAGUGGGGAAUAUUGGACAAUCGGCGAAAGCCUGCUCCAGCAAUGCCGCGUGGGUGAUGAAGGCCUUAGGGUUGUAAAGCUCUUUUACCCGGGAUGAUAAUGACAGUACCGGGAGAAUAAGCUCCGGCUAACUC
rnacentral:rRNA from 1 species